AUCAACGCUGGCGGCGCGCCUAACACAUGCAAGUCGAACGAGAAAGGGGAGCAAUCCCUGAGUAAAGUGGCGCACGGGUGAGUAACACGUGGGUCAUCCACCCUUUGGCGGGGAAUAACCCUGGGAAACCGGAGCUAAUACCGCAUAAGUCCGAGAGGAGAAAGUCGCAAGACGCCGAAGGAGGAGCCCGCGCCCGAUUAGCUAGUUGGUGAGGUAAAAGCUCACCAAGGCGACGAUCGGUAGCCGGCCUGAGAGGGCACACGGCCACACUGGCACUGAAACACGGGCCAGACUCCUACGGGAGGCAGCAGUGGGGAAUCUUGCACAAUGGGGGAAACCCUGAUGCAGCGACGCCGCGUGAACGAUGAAGCCCUUCGGGGUGUAAAGUUCUUUCGGCAGGGACGAUAAUGACGGUACCUGCAGAAGCAGCUGCGGCUAACUACGU
rnacentral:rRNA from 1 species